rnacentral:rRNA from 2 species
UACAGAGGGGGCAAGCGUUGUCCGGAGUUACUGGGCGUAAAGCGCCCGCAGGUGGCACGGCAAGUGCCGGGUGAAAGCCCCGUGCUUAACACGGGGAGGCCCCGGCAGACGGUCGCGCUCGAGGGUGGCAGAGGGGGGUGGAAUUGCUGGUGUAGUGGUGAAAUGCGUAGAGAUCAGCAGGAACACCAAGGGCGAAAGCAGCCCCCUGGGCCACACCUGACACUGAGGGGCGAAAGCGUGGGGAGCGAACCGG